GACGACGCUGGCGGCGUGCCUAAUACAUGCAAGUAGAACGAGUUGCGAACGGGUGAGUAACGCGUGGUAACCUGCCUCAUAGCGGGGGAUACCUAUUGGAAACGAUAGCUAAUACCGCAUACUGUGAGAUGGACCUGGGUUGUAUUAGCUAGUUGGUGAGGUAAAGGCUCACCGAGGCGACGAUCCCUAGCUGGUCUGAGAGGAUGACCAGCCACACUGGAACUGAGACACGGUCCAGACGCCUACGGGAGGCAGCAGUGGGGAAUAUGGCACAAUGGGCGCAAGCCUGAUGCAGCCAUGCCGCGUGUAUGAAGAAGGCCUUCGGGUUGUAAAGUACUUUCAGCGGGGAGGCGUUACCCGCAGAAGAAGCACCGGCUAACUCCGUGCCAGCAGCCGCGGGAAUAC
rnacentral:rRNA from 1 species